rnacentral:rRNA from 1 species
GGAGGGCAAGUCUGGUGCCAGCAGCCGCGGUAAUUCCAGCUCCAAUAGCGUAUAUUAAAGUUGUUGUGGUUAAAAAGCUCGUAGUUGAACCUUGGGCCUGGCCGUCCGGUCCGCCUCACCGCGUGUACUGGCUCGGCCGGGCCUUUCCCUCUGUGGAACCCCAUGCCCUUCACUGGGCGUGGCGGGGAAACAGGACUUUUACUGUGAAAAAAUUAGAGUGCUCCAGGCAGGCCUAUGCUCGAAUACAUUAGCAUGGAAUAAUAGAAUAGGACGUGUGGUUCUAUUUUGUUGGUUUCUAGGACCGCCGUAAUGAUUAAUAGGGACAGUCGGGGGCAUCAGUAUUCAAUUGUCAGAGGUGAAAUUCUUGGAUUUAUUGAAGACUAACUACUGCGAAAGCAUUUGCCAAGGGUGUUUUCAUUAAUCAGGAACGAAAGUUAGGGGAUCGAAGACGAUCAGAUACCGUCGUAGUCUUAACCAUAAACUAUGCCGACUAGGGAUCGGACGGUGUUAUUUUUUGACCCGUUCGGCACCUUACGGGAAAC